rnacentral:rRNA from 1 species
AAUGAACGCUGGCGGCGCGCCUAAUACAUGCAAGUCGAGCGAGAAGACGUAGCAAUACGUUUGUAAAGCGGCGAACGGGUGAGGAAUACAUGGGUAACCUACCCUAGAGUGGGGAAUAACUAGCCGAAAGGUUAGCUAAUACCGCGUACGCUUCUUGGACUUCGGUUCAGGGAGGAAAGCGCUACCGAGGGUAGCGCACUCUUGGAUGGGCUCAUGUCCUAUCAGCUUGUUGGUGAGGUAACGGCUCACCAAGGCUUCGACGGGUAGCUGGUCUGAGAGGACGAUCAGCCACACUGGCACUGCGACACGGGCCAGACUCCUACGGGAGGCAGCAGUAAGGAAUAUUGCGCAAUGGGCGAAAGCCUGACGCAGCGACGCCGCGUGGGGGA